UUGCCACUCUCUUAGGCGCACUUCCGAAAGCAUGAGCGUUGCUCCGAGCAACUGUGGGGCCUUCCUUCCUGUACACACCACCCAGCCCAGCCCGCUCUUGGUAAUCCCGAAAGGGCCCGCCAGGAACUUGACGUGGUAGCUGCAGCAACCAAACUAAAACCAAGACAUGGCCUGGAAGAUUUAAGCCAUGAUGGUGUAGAGGAAAGAUGGAAGGAGCCCAUAUCGCUGAUGACAUCAGGAAGAUGUGGUACCAGCAAGUGACUGCCUACCUUUAGACUUGUGUUUACAUAAGAGAAAAAUAAACCUCCAUCUUAUUUAA